GCGGCCGUAGUCUAGCUUGGUUAGGACAUCGGCCUCCCGUCUACGGCUGGAAGAGAGCCGACGACCCGGGUUCAAAUCCCGGCGGCCGCA
rnacentral:tRNA from 1 species